GUCUUGUAAAUUUCACGAUUGCGAGCCACGUUUCACGCAACCGUGUUUGCGUACUUGUGUUUCGAGUUGCGUGGUCGUGCGGAGUUAUAUUUACCAAUUCGCGCAAUCGUACUUGAGACGCUGUGUCAGGUGAGGUGUUUGAAAAUUUGUGUAACUUGAUUGCUUGAUUCUGUGGUGUGAAGGUGGUUAAACUUUUGUUUUGUUUGUUUUUGUUGUUGCGAAUAUAUCGCAGAAAGUUUUUAGAUGAAGUAAUUGUAUGAUGAAGAUAACACAGAAAAUACAAGAGGGCAGCAUACUUUGCAAAACAAUUGUUACAAUUUGAAAUCAACAAUUUGUUAAGUUGUUGUAUUGCAGCAUCAGUUUGAAACCAUCAGCGAAUAGUGGACCAGCGCGAGUAGAGGGGAUCGCACUGGUGACUGUAUACCGAUGUGAAGUUAUCCAUAGAUUCCAUCCAUAGAUUUUUUUUUCAAAAUAUCGCAAAAAUACUGGGACAAUAGUACUACCAAGCAAGUAUAUUAUUAAAUUAAAGGAAACCAAUAGUAAAACUUAUACUUAAUAUAAAAUUUUAUAUUAAAACCAAUUUUCCACA